UACGUAGGGUGCAAGCGUUAAUCGGAAUUACUGGGCGUAAAGCGUGCGCAGGCGGUUGUGUAAGACAGAUGUGAAAUCCCCGGGCUCAACCUGGGAACUGCAUUUGUGACUGCACAGCUGGAGUGCGGCUGAGGGGGAUGGAAUUCCGCGUGUAGCAGUGAAAUGCGUAGAUAUGCGGAGGAACACCGAUGGCGAAGGCAAUCCCCUGGGCCUGCACUGACGCUCAUGCACGAAAGCGUGGGGAGCAAACAGG
rnacentral:rRNA from 1 species